UAAUAGGUAUGCUUAGGGAGGAGCUUGCGUCACAUUAGUUAGUUGGUGGGGUAAAGGCCUACCAAGACUAUGAUGUGUAGCCGGGCUGAGAGGUUGAACGGCCACAUUGGGACUGAGACACGGCCCAAACUCCUACGGGAGGCAGCAGUAGGGAAUUUUCGGCAAUGGAGGAAACUCUGACCGAGCAACGCCGCGUGAACGAUGAAGUAUUUCGGUACGUAAAGUUCUUUUAUUAGGGAAGAAUAAAUGAUGGAAAAAUCAUUCUGACGGUACCUAAUGAAUAAGCCCCGGCUAACUAUGUGCCAGCAGCCGCGGUAAUACAUAGGGGGCAAGCGUUAUCCGGAAUUAUUGGGCAUAAAGGGUGCGUAGGCGGUUAAAUAAGUUUAUGGUCUAAGUGCAAUGCUCAACAUUGUGAUGCUAUAAAAACUGUUUAGCUAGAGUAAGAUAGAGGCAAGUGGAAUUCCAUGUGUAGUGGUAAAAUGCGUAAAUAUAUGGAGGAACACCAGUAGCGAAGGCGGCUUGCUGGGUCUUUACUGACGCUGAGGCACGAAAGCGUGGGGAGCAAACAGGAUUAGAUACCCUGGUAGUCCACGCCGUAAACGAUGAGUACUAAACGUUGGGUAAAACCAGUGUUGAAGUUAACACAUUAAGUACUCCGCCUGAGUAGUACGUACGCAAGUAUGAAACUUAAAGGAAUUGACGGGACUCCGCACAAGCGGUGGAUCAUGUUGUUUAAUUCGAAGGUACCCGAAAAACCUCACCAGGUCUUGACAUGCUUCUGCAAAGCUGUAGAAACACAGUGGAGGUUAUCAGUUGCACAGGUGGUGCAUGGUUGUCGUCAGCUCGUGUCGUGAGAUGUUGGGUUAAGUCCCGCAACGAGCGCAACCCUUAUUGUUAGUUACCAGCACGUAAUGGUGGGGACUUUAGCAAGACUGCCAGUGAUAAAUUGGAGGAAGGUGGGGACGACGUCAAAUCAUCAUGCCCCUUAUGACCUGGGCUACAAACGUGAUACAAUGGCUGUUACAAAGGGUAGCUGAAGCGCAAGUUUUUGGCGAAUCUCAAAAAAACAGUCUCAGUUCGGAUUGAAGUCUGCAACUCGACUUCAUGAAGUUGGAAUC
rnacentral:rRNA from 1 species